GAUGAACGCUGGCGGCGUGCCUAACACAUGCAAGUCGAGCGAUUCUCUUCGGAGAAGAGCGGCGGACGGGUGAGUAACGCGUGGGUAACCUGCCCUGUACACACGGAUAACAUACCGAAAGGUAUGCUAAUACGAGAUAACAUAAGAAAUUCGCAUGUUUUUCUUAUCAAAGCUCCGGCGGUACAGGAUGGACCCGCGUCUGAUUAGCUAGUUGGUGAGGUAAGGGCUCACCAAGGCGACGAUCAGUAGCCGACCUGAGAGGGUGAUCGGCGACAUUGGAACUGGGACACGGUCCAAACUCCUACGGGAGGCAGCAGUGGGGAAUAUUGCACAAUGGGCGAAAGCCUGAUGCAGCAACGCCGCGUGAGCGAUGAAGGCCUUCGGGUCGUAAAGCUCUGUCCUCAAGGAAGAUAAUGACGGUACUUGAGGAGGAAGCCCCGGCUAACUACGUGCCAGCCGCCGCGGUAA
rnacentral:rRNA from 1 species